rnacentral:tRNA from 1 species
GACCGUGUAGCUCAGUUGGCAGAGCGUUGGGCUAGUAUUCCAACGGUCGUAGGUUCGAUUCCCAUCGUGGCCA